CGGCAAAUUAUCCUCAUAAGUUAGACGAGAAGAGGAACCACUUUUUCUUAGAUUAGUAUCUCCAGUACAACAUACAACUCUAAAAGUGGUGGCACAAAAUCGGAAGCCCCGACUGUUUACUAAAAACACAACUAUCUGCAAUGAUGUAAAUCAUAGUAUAGGUAGUGAGGUUUGCCCGAUGCCAUUAACAUAAGAGAAGAAAUGGAAUAACUGUUUCUAAUUGAAAGUCUGGUUAAUAGCGGUCUUAACUAUGAGGAUCCAAAGGUAGCAAAAUAAAUUGGCCAUUAAAUGUGGUCCGGUAUCAAUAAUUUAACGAUGGCUUCACUGUCUCUACAACUUGCUCAGUGAAAUUGAAUUACCCGUGCAGAUGCGGGUUACCUCCAGGGGGACGGGAAGACCCUAUGCAGCUUCUA
rnacentral:rRNA from 1 species